rnacentral:rRNA from 1 species
GGGGAAUAUUGGACAAUGGGGGGAACCCUGAUCCAGCCAUGCCGCGUGUGUGAAGAAGGCCUUAUGGUUGUAAAGCACUUUAAGCGAGGAGGAGGCUCUCUUGGUUAAUACCCAAGAUGAGUGGACGUUACUCGCAGAAUAAGCACCGGCUAACUCUGUGCCAGCAGCCGCGGUAAUACAGAGGGUGCGAGCGUUAAUCGGAUUUACUGGGCGUAAAGCGUGCGUAGGCGGCUUUUUAAGUCGGAUGUGAAAUCCCCGAGCUUAACUUGGGAAUUGCAUUCGAUACUGGGAAGCUAGAGUAUGGGAGAGGAUGGUAGAAUUCCAGGUGUAGCGGUGAAAUGCGUAGAGAUCUGGAGGAAUACCGAUGGCGAAGGCAGCCAUCUGGCCUAAUACUGACGCUGAGGUACGAAAGCAUGGGGAGCAAACAGGAUUAGAUACCCUGGUAGUCCAUGCCGUAAACGAUGUCUACUAGCCGUUGGGGCCUUUGAGGCUUUAGUGGCGCAGCUAACGCGAUAAGUAGACCGCCUGGGGAGUACGGUCGCAAGACUAAAACUCAAAUGAAUUGACGGGGGCCCGCACAAGCGGUGGAGCAUGUGGUUUAAUUCGAUGCAACGCGAAGAACCUUACCUGGUCUUGACAUAGUAAGAACUUUCCAGAGAUGGAUAGGUGCCUUCGGGAACUUACAUACAGGUGCUGCAUGGCUGUCGUCAGCUCGUGUCGUGAGAUGUUGGGUUAAGUC